CUGGCAUUCGUUAUGUGAGGUGUCCAUACCCCAUUUUCACUGGCAUUCGUUAUGUGAGGUGUCCAAUCUUCUAUGUGAGUCUUUACCAACAACCUUCUUGGUAAAAACUGAAACAAGUCAUUAGGCAACCUCUGCCAUUUAUGCGUUUUGAAAUCCAUUGUAUUUAUUUGCUGUUCUUCCUCCUACCAUUUCUUAGAAUCACAAGCACUACCAUUUUAUGAUCACUUUCACCCAAUCUGCCUUCCACUUUCAAAUUCUCAACGAGUUCCUUUCUAAUUUGCCAAAAAUCAAAUCUAGACCAGCCUCUCCCCAGUAGCUUUUUCCACCUUCUGAAAUAAAAAAAAAAAUUGCCUCCAAUACAUUCUAAGAACUUGUUGGAUAAUCUGCCUUGCUGUUAUUUUUUCAACAGAUAUCUGGAUAGUUGGAAUCCCCCAUCAUCACAAAGUCCUUUACUUUGGAUGAUUAUUUUGUUUAAAAAACAAAACAAAACAAA